rnacentral:rRNA from 1 species
UACGUAGGGUCCGAGCGUUGUCCGGAAUUACUGGGCGUAAAGAGCUCGUAGGUGGUUUGUCGCGUUGUUCGUGAAAACUCACAGCUCAACUGUGGGCGUGCGGGCGAUACGGGCAGACUGGAGUACUGCAGGGGAGACUGGAAUUCCUGGUGUAGCGGUGGAAUGCGCAGAUAUCAGGAAGAACACCCGUGGCGAAGGCGGCUCUCUGGUACGUGACUGACGCUGAGACGCGAAAGCGUGGGGAGCAAACAGG